rnacentral:lncRNA from 1 species
UCUCACAAAAUGUCUAAUUCAAAAUGUAGAUCAUACAAAAUGAUAGGAUCCCAGUCAUACUGCAACUAGAAUGGUUUUUCAAUAGCUUUGCUUCAUCAGAAUUUCACCAAUGCGCUAGGCUGCAAUGGUCUACAUGUUACGUUUCUUUGACCAGUAGUAGGCAGAAAGGGGAUUAUUCACCCCUAUCUAACUACCAACAACAACUACCAUAAAGACAAACCUAAACAACCUACAUAAAAGCAUAAACUAAUUCCUAUUUCUAAACAUCUUUCUAUGAUAGAUUUGCAGAGUCCUUUAUACUGGGUCAUUAGUGUCUUGCCUAACAAUGCACACCAGCUGGACGAGCUAAAAAGUAAAGCCAUACGGAGGAGGAUCAUACUAAAGAUUUUUUCGCCCUAACUGAGCCGUUAACUGAUCAGCAGCGGCCAUAGCACAGGAUGCUGGACCAAUGGAACCUUCAUACCUAGCCACCAAGAUAUAUGCGGCUGUUUGCAUAACAAUUGCACCUUCCCCAGCAGGUUUUGAUGUGUUUAUGCACCUUGCACUAAACCAGUUCUCAUGAAUUGUUGUGAC